GACGAACGCUGGCGGCGUGCCUAACACAUGCAAGUGGAGCGACGAACCAGGCUUCGGCCUGGGGCAAAGCCGCGAACGGGUGAGUAACACGUGGGUAACCUGCCCCGAUGAUUGGGACGAACCCGACGGAAACGUACGGGCGUAAUAACCGAAUGUGCCCUACCAGCUUCAAGGCUGGUGGGGAAAGGAAGCUUCGGCCUCCGCAUCGGGAUGGGCCCGCGGCCCAUUAGCUUGUUGGUGAGGUAACGGCNCACCAAGGCUACGAUGGGUAGC
rnacentral:rRNA from 1 species